rnacentral:rRNA from 1 species
GCAUAAUCUUUAUUUGAAAGUACCAACUGGUACACUAUGAGAUGGACCCGCGUUGUAUUAGCUAGUUGGUAGUGUAAUGGACUACCAAGGCGAUGAUACAUAGCCGACCUGAGAGGGUGAUCGGCCACAUUGGGACUGAGACACGGCCCAAACUCCUACGGGAGGCAGCAGUAGGGAAUCUUCGGCAAUGGACGAAAGUCUGACCGAGCAACGCCGCGUGAGUGAAGAAGGUUUUCGGAUCGUAAAACUCUGUUGUUAGAGAAGAAUGUUGAUUAGAGUGGAAAAUUAAUCAAGUGACGGUAUCUAACCAGAAAGGGACGGCUAACUACGUGCCAGCAGCCGCGGUAAUACGUAGGUCCCGAGCGUUGUCCGGAUUUAUUGGGCGUAAAGCGAGCGCAGGUGGUUUAAUAAGUCUGAUGUAAAAGGCAGUGGCUCAACCAUUGUGUGCAUUGGAAACUGUUAGACUUGAGUGCAGUAGAGGAGAGUGGAAUUCCAUGUGUAGCGGUGAAAUGCGUAGAUAUAUGGAGGAACACCGGUGGCGAAAGCGGCUCUCUGGACUGUCACUGACACUGAGGCUCGAAAGCGUGGGUAGCAAACAGGAUUAGAUACCCUGGUAGUCCACGCCGUAAACGAUGAGUGCUAGUUGUUUGGGGCUAUCCAGCCCUAAGUGACGCAGCAAACGCAUUAAGCACUCCACCUGGGGAGUACGAUCGCAAGAUUGAAACUCAAAGGAAUUGACGG